GAUGAAUGCUGGCGGCGUGCCUAACACAUGCAAGUCGAGCGGCAGCGCGAGUAGUUUACUACUUGGCGGCGAGCGGCGGACGGCUGAGUAACGCGUGGGAACGUGCCCCAAAGUGAGGAAUAACUGCCCGAAAGGGUGGCUAAUACCGCAUAUGAUCUUCGGAUUAAAGUCUUCGGACGCUUUGGGAGCGGCCCGCGUCGGAUUAGGUUGUUGGUGGGGUAAUGGCUCACCAAGCCGACGAGCCGUAGCUGGUCUGAGAGGAUGAUCAGCCAGACUGGGACUGAGACACGGCCCAGACUCCUACGGGAGGCAGCAGUGAGGAAUCUUCCACAAUGGGCGAAAGCCUGAUGGAGCAACGCCGCGUGCAGGAUGAAGGCCUUCGGGUCGUAAACUGCUUUUAUGAGUGAAGAAUAUGACGGUAACUCAUGAAUAAGCACCGGCUAACUACGUGCCAGCAGCCGCGGUAA
rnacentral:rRNA from 1 species